GCCUUCUUAGUGCAGUUGACAGCAUGUCAGUCUCAUACUCUGAAGAUCCUGAGUUCAAUCCUCAGAUGAGGCA